rnacentral:lncRNA from 1 species
UAAAAUCCUCCCCACACUUAAGAUAUGCAUUGUCUUCAAUAUACAAACAAAGAUAAACAUAAUAAAAAACAUAACAUAGUAACAUGAUGAGAGAACUGAAAUUGCCCUAAAUUGCUAUGAUUGGGUGGAGAUAGUGAAAUCUUAAAUCAUUGGAGAUCCAAAGUUAAGUACAAUUAUCCUAGCAAGAAUCAAAAGAAAACAAAAUAAUAUAAAAAGGUAAAAAGAAAACGGAAGAAAAAUAAAACAAAAAAACUUCUAGUGAAAAACAAAAUAAUAAUAAAAGAGGAUGGGGAGAAGAGUCGGCGUUGAAGAGGGGAAGGGAAAAGAAAUAAAAUAAAUAGAAAAUAAAAACAAAGAAAAAAAUAGAACGAAAAGAAAAUGACAUAAAGAAUACGGAAGGGGGAAGGAAAAUAAAAGAAACAGUAAAGUCAAAGAGAGGGAGAAUAAAAUGUAGUAGGGUUUGGGAAAUAGAGGGGAUGCAAAAAGAAAAGGAAGGGAAAAAAGAAAGAAAGAAAGAAAGAAAAAACAAAAAGUGAAAAUGAAACGGUGUGUUUUAAAAAACAGGUGGUAUGGUCGUGUCUCUAGGCUAUGUAACUUCCGGGAACCAUUUGCUUCCAAAAACAACCAUUUCUAGUCUUCACACGACUAUGUUUCUAGACUAUGUGGUCCAC